AAAAUAUCUAGCUGAAGUCAACUCAACAUAAGUUACAUUAGUUAACUUAACAGAUCAUAUAACUCCAAGGAAAUUUGGCCAUGAAGUAUAACAAAAUGUAUUGCAGAUUUUGUUUUUCUGGAUAUUUCCAGUACUAAUAUUUCCUAAAUUAUAAAUCUACAAUAUUAAGCUUAAGUUAGGAAAGUAGUAAGUACAAUCUAAAGUAAGUAGUAGAUAUAGCUCCAGGUAAAUAGCGUAAGUACACUUUUAUUUCAAUUAUGAUUAAUAUUAUAAAUACUAUGUUUAUAUUUUAAUAAAUAUUAUUUUACUAAAAA